GCGCGCCCCGCCCGGAUAUCCGUCCUGCGGGCUCUGUCAGCUGCCAGGCAUGGCGCUGUGCGAGGGCUUGGGCUGCGGGAGCUCUCUGCUCUGGCCUCGGGUGUUGCUCUUCGGAGACUCCAUCACCCAGUUUUCUUUCCAGCAGGGAGGAUGGGGUGCAUCCCUAGCUGACAAGCUGGUCAGAAAAUGUGAUGUUCUGAAUCGUGGAUUUUCAGGCUAUAAUACUAGAUGGGCCAAAAUUAUCCUUCCAAGAUUAAUCAGGAAAGGGAGUGUUUUGGACAGCCCCGUAGCAGUUACCAUUUUCUUUGGUGCCAAUGACAGCGCGUUAAAAGAGGAGAACCCCAAGCAGCACAUCCCGCUGGACGAGUUCGUGGCGAACCUGAGGAGCAUGGUGCAGUACCUGCGGUCCGUGGACGUCCCCGAGGGCAGGAUCGUGCUCAUCACGCCGCCCCCGCUCUGCGAGGCCGCCUGGGAGAAGGAGUGCCUGGCGCAAGGCUGCAAGUUAAACCGCCUGAACGCGGUGGUCGGCGAGUACGCCAGCGCCUGCUUACAGGUGGCCCGAGACUGUGGGACCGACGUGCUCGACCUGUGGGCCCUGAUGCAGAAGGACGGUCAGAAGCCAGUGGCCACACGCCAUCAGACAGAACAGCUCUUCACAGCCCAGUGUGUCCCGGCGGCCGGCCCGGCUGGUAAACACAGGUCCUUCCCACGGAGCAGCAUUCAGCUCUGCACCACAGCUCUUGUCUGAGCAGCCGCACGCUGCUCGCUGCCUAGACGGACAGCUUUACGUGGCAACAGCGCCUGAGCUCUCCCUAGCGCGACAGCCUCAGCCGCCCCCGUCUCCCCUGCCCAGCACCCUGCUGGUCCCCGGCCUCAGAACGGCCCCAGCCUCUCAGCUCCCUCGCAGCAGCCUCACAUCCUCGUCUCGCCGGCACGCUCGCUGGUCAGUAACAGUGUUACACUUCUGAGACGAAGAAGGCCUCGUGCCAACACUAACACCAUGCUUCGGGCUACAGAGGGCACAGUGCACCGUGUCCUGGCACCUGCUUACGGUGCCUUAGCCUUCGCUCAGGGUGACCGUGGCCGGUCCGGCACACUAACGAGGCCGUCCACACUCUGAGUGGCCUUGGCUGUCCGGUGACUGUCCGGUGGCCACAGCAGGACUUCGCACCCUACUUGUCCGAUGGCCUCCACUUGUCCCCAAGGGGAAACGCGUUCCUCUUCUCCCACCUCUGGCCUCUGAUCG